rnacentral:rRNA from 1 species
CACGUAGUUGGCCGGUCCUUCUUCUGCAGGUACCGUCACUCUCGCUUCGUCCCUGCUGAAAGAGGUUUACAACCCGAAGGCCGUCAUCCCUCACGCGGCGUUGCUGGAUCAGGCUUUCGCCCAUUGUCCAAUAUUCCCCACCGCUGCCUCCCGUAGGAGUCUGGGCCGUGUCUCAGUCCCAGUGUGGCCGGUCACCCUCUCAGGCCGGCUACCCGUCAAUGCCUUGGUGAGCCAUUACCCUCACCAACAAGCUGAUAGGCCGCGAGCUCAUCCUUCUCCGCCGGAGCUUUCCAACCCCCAACAUGCGAAAGGGGUUCAUAUUCGGCAUUAGCCAUCGUUUCCAAUGGUUAUUCCAAAGAGAAGGGCAGAUUGCUCACGUGUUACUCACCCGUUCGCCGCUCGUGUACCCCGAAGGGCCUUACCGCUCGACUUGCAUGUGUUAAGCACGCCGCCAGCGUUCGUCCUGUGCCAGGACUCAAAACCGUUCCUA